GCCGGGGUGGUGGUGGGCACCUGUAAUCCCAGCAACUCUGGAGGCUGAGGCAGGAGGAUUGCAAGUUCAAAGCCAGCCUCAGCAACUUAGCGAGGCCGUAAGCAACUUAGCAAGACCCUGUCUCAG
rnacentral:sRNA from 1 species